rnacentral:sRNA from 1 species
AGUUAUAAAGGAUUAACACAUUUUUUCUAGAGGUUAUUGAUGUGUAAACGCGGUCUCUUACUCACAAACUAACAUAAAAGUCCUUCGACUUUAUCAGGUUUGUGAGUUAUAUCACCCGGUUUACACAUCAAGUAACCUCUAGAAAAAAUGUUUUAAUCCAUAAUAAAU